rnacentral:rRNA from 1 species
UACGUAGGGCGCAAGCGUUAUCCGGAAUUAUUGGGCGUAAAGAGCUCGUAGGCGGUUUGUCGCGUCUGCCGUGAAAGUCCGGGGCUCAACCCCGGAUCUGCCGUGCGGACUGGUUUGCUAGAGCACUGUAGAGGCGAGUGGAAUUCCAGGUGUAGCGGUGAAAUGCGUAGAUAUCUGGAGGAACACCGGUGGCGAAGGCGGCAUCCUGGACCGGCAUUGACGCUGAGGAGCGAAAGCCAGGGGAGCGAACAGG